rnacentral:rRNA from 1 species
UACGUAGGGUGCGAGCGUUGUCCGGAAUUAUUGGGCGUAAAGAGCUCGUAGGCGGUCUGUCGCGUCGGUCGUGAAAACUUGGGGCUUAACCCUGAGCUUGCGGUCGAUACGGGCAUGACUGGAGUUCGGUAGGGGAGACUGGAAUUCCUGGUGUAGCGGUGAAAUGCGCAGAUAUCAGGAAGAACACCCGUGGCGAAAGCGGCUCUCUGGAACGGUACUGACGCUGAGACGCGAAAGCGUGGGGAGCGAACAGG